AUUGAACGCUGGCGGCAUGCCUUACACAUGCAAGUCGAACGGCAGCACGGGAGCAAUCCUGGUGGCGAGUGGCGAACGGGUGAGUAACGUAUCGGAACGUACCAUUCAGUGGGGGAUAACGUCGCGAAAGUCACGCUAAUACCGCAUAGUCUGUGAGCGGGAUAGCAGGGGAUCGCACGACCUUGCGCUGAUCGAGAGUCCGAUAUCAGAUUAGCUAGUUGGUGAGGUAAAGGCUCACCAAGGCGACGAUCUGUAGCGGGUCUGAGAGCAUUAUCCACCACACUGGAACUGAGACACGGUCAAGACUCCUACGGGAGGCAGCAGUGGGGAAUUUUGGACAAUGGGCGCAAGCCUGAUCCAGCCAUGCCGCGUGAGUGAAGAAGGCCUUCGGGUUGUAAAGCUCUUUCGGCCGGGAAGAAAUCGCAUGGGUUAAUACCCUGUGCGGAUGACGGUACCGGCAUAAGAAGCACCGGCUAACAACGUGCCAGCCGCCGCAGUAAUAC
rnacentral:rRNA from 1 species